rnacentral:rRNA from 1 species
UACAGAGGGUGCAAGCGUUGUUCGGAAUUACUGGGCGUAAAGCGUGCGUAGUCGGUAUUGAGAGUCGCGGGUGAAAUCCCAGGGCUUAACCCUGGAACUGCCUGCGAGACCUCAGUACUAGAGUGUGAGAGGGGAUAGUGGAAUACCCAGUGUAGCGGUGAAAUGCGUAGAGAUUGGGUGGAACACCGGUGGCGAAGGCGGCGUUCUGGACUGUUUCUGACACUGAAAAACGAAAGCCAGGGGAGCAAACGGG